CAGGUCUUUGCUGCCCCCACCCCCACCCCCACCCCGGGGUUGCCACAGCUGGCCCGCGCACUGGGCUCGAGGGUUGCCCCGGCUCCUCUGGCGCCCAAACAAGGAGCUAGAGCGCGGGCAGCCGGCGCGGAGGCUGAGACUGGCAGGUUGCUGGAGCUGCUCUGCGCCUGCCCUCCACCCGGGGCCCCGGCGCGAGAGGCAGCCCCGCUCUCCCUCCCGGAGCGCUGUAGACAGAUAUGCAAGAUGGCAGAGGAGGGGGAAAUCCAAUAGAAAAGGGAUAUUGCACCUACUUGUGGCCAGUUUCCUUGCCCUGCCUUUGGAUCUCAUGCUGUGCCCAGUCCUGCAGCCGCUGGAUUUACCAAAGAAGUGGGCACGCAGAAAUGGGGACCUCUUAAAGGAGCUAGCUGUGUUUAAGAAGCAGAGAACACGAGCUGGGAGUUGGAGGAAAGAUGGGUCGUUGAAGAAGAGAACAGGACAAGCAUAUCUCUUUUCCAGCUAUGUUUCUUUAGUUAAUGCUAGAAACAGCAAAGAACCGAUUUUCAAUAAAUUACAUGCAACAGGAAAUUUUCCUUUCCUCGCAUUAUAAUUGAACCAGCCCCACGGUAUCUUUGAAAAAAAGUUUGAAUUCUUUAAGGAGCUAUUUCUUGGCCUAUUGUCUUUGUGCAGUGAACUUUACAUCUUGCUAUUCAAUCACAACCUAUAUUCUGCUGGCUACCAGCAAGAUUAAUUUAAUCAUUGUAAUGCAAUUAUUAAUACUGUUUACCCAACGCUGGGUUUCAGGUUGGCUGUUAAGAAAUUAAACUCUCGCUGGGUGACCAGAGCUAGGCAGGGGUUUCUUCAUGUUGAAAUGAAACAGUCCUCUUUAUUUAGUCUCAGAGCUCUAGCUUUCGGCCACCAGCUCAAUUAGC
rnacentral:lncRNA from 1 species